CAUCGGCUUGCUUCCCUUAUCUUCCCUCUCGUCUGCUUGCCACCGGCCAUAUGUGCGCCAACUUGCUCCAGGAGCCUCCCCAUCUCGUCCUGCACCUCGAGCUGCCAUUUCCCAGGCCGGCCGAGCCAUUCCCCGCCGUAAUCGGCGAUUCCGGCCGGGCGGAGCAGCUUCCCCCGCGGAAGCCCAGCCGCCGUCGACCCUCUCCCUCAAGUCCUCCGCCCGAAUUGAGCUCCUGGUCGCGCGCUGUGCCGCCGUGUCUCCACGCAUCGGCAGUUCCGCCUGUCGCGCCCACCGAUGCGCCGCACCUUGGGGAGCCUCGCCCAGCCGCUUUCGCUACCAAGCGCUCGUCGUCGAUGAGCGUCUGAACGGCCGGCGCACGAGGUCAGCCCGCCUCGGGGCACACCUGGCUGCCCUGCGGGACUCUACAAGUGAGGCUCGAUCCCAGGAGGCCGCGUCGCUUCUCCAUGGCCACCAUUGUCGCCGGAAUCGCCCUUUCCCCCGUGCUCCUCUGCUUCAAAUCGCAACCAAGGACCUCGGACUCCCUCGCUCAAAGGAUCUGCAUCUCUCCCUCAAGUCUGGAUCUCUGGGUUCCUUCUCUCCCCCGUUACUCCUGUUUCCUACAUCUCUGCAGGCGACGCCCCGCGGCUGACCCCAGACCCGCUGCCCCGAGGCCGACGACGCCAGCCAGCGCCGACCCCAGGAGCCACAGCCACCGUUCCGCGGCCAGCCACUAGCAGCGCGUGUCCAAUAGGGGCAGGGCAGGGACAGGCGAGCGAUGGCCCACAGGCACGUGCGGCAUGGGCUCCUGCGGCUGGCCAGCGGAGGCCGGAGGCUUGCGCCCCCCCCCCCCCCCCCCCACGGGGCUCAUCAAGGUGGACCAGGUCCUCUACUCCUCCGUCGUGUACCCGCACAACUAUGGCUUCAUCCCCCAUCGACGUCCUAGUCCUCACGCAGGAACCAGUUCGGCCACCUCCCAUCCACGGUCACCUUCAGUUUCGGCCUGUUGCCAAAUCAUAUUAAUAUAUGAUCAUUUAGAUAAUUGUCUAUACAUUUCUAUUCAGCUAUAUUAAUUGUAGACCUCACCACUGAUUGCAACGGUACCUAAAAGCAAAUAGAAUCACAUAAGAGUAUAUUAUAGAUCUUCUUUUAUUUUUUUGAUUUUGGCCUAGAAUAUCUUUCUUUAUACUUAGUCAAGUUAUCUUAAAAUACCAUUUCAUAUUAGCAGUUGUACGUUGCAUAUUUAUUUUCAGGUUUAUUGAAAUGCCUGCAAAGUUGAAGAGAUUCCAGAAAUUGUAAGAUUUUCGAUACGUUUGACCUUCAGUCUUGAUGCUUCAUUAUUUUAGUUGGGACUGAAAGUUAAUACAUCUUUGGGAGGCUACCGAUCAGGAUAGGCAUCCUAACUGAAGCAAUUCUUGGAAGAGAUAGUUUCAAAGUAUUGUAAAUUCAUGUCAUUCAGUAUGCUAAUGAUUCACUUAAAAUGUGAUAUGAACCUGUAUCACGCUAGCUAUUGUACUUAUCUAAAAAUAGAUUUCAUUUCUGGGACAUAUUUAUUUUCCCAGAAAGUUAACAAGGAACGACGGUGCAAAAGAAUUAUAAAUUAGUUCAAAGGAAAAGUUGUUUGCCAACCAUAUUAUCAUAGUUAAUUGUGUUUACAUAUUGCUGGGUAUGCUACAAACAGCUCUUUACACAGCGACCAAAUAAAAUUAAUCUUAUCCAUGCAAAUGUACUAGGUUUUCGUUUCAUAUCACAAAUAGAUCUUGCAAUACAAUGAGGUCUGUCCAGUAAAACUAUCUAAAUCACACCUGCUUACAUUCAGUUACAUUUUCCAUGUUUCCUUUUAUUUUAUUUUUUCUAGAACUACCUUUUGUUUUUUGCUCAUACCAGUCAAUUAAGAAGCUUAGCAUAGCAUCUUUUUUUUGAGCUAAUUGUUUACAAAUGUGCUCUUAUAAACAGUUGCAGGCUGUGGCCGUUUAAAGCAGAUUAGUUUGCAUUGAAAUGGCUGCAUGGUUCAAAUUUGAACCUUAACUAAUAUUAUCAUGGCAGCAUCUUGUGAACUGCUUCAACGUCCAUCGACUCUUGAACUGGCGCAAAAGCAGUCAGCUGUUUUAUUUUGCUGAAAUGUCAUGUUAUCCCGGUGAGCAAAUUUGAAACUUAUUACCAUGUAGUUCUUGAGAUGUAUCAAAUCUUUGACAUUGGCAGUUCUCUGCAUUUGCAUACUCUAUUUCAGCAGUACAAGGUUGAAUGAUUGACUAGCUAGAUCAGUGGUGUGUGACGUUGUGAUGUGUGAAGACGCAAUUAGUAGCAGACAAAAAAAACUGCUUACUCGGCUGAUCGCGUGAAACUAGGUACAAAAGAGUUUGAAAAUAGGUAUUCGUGUUCCAAGUAUGAAAACGUUGACAAGUUAUGCUUCCUCUUGUCAUGCUGAUCAUAUAAAUGGCCUAUCAUAGAAGAGUUCUUGUUCUUGACCUAUGAUGACAUUGCACGUGUCCCACAAAUUACUCCAGAUCCGUAGCAUACAAUUGGACUUGUGCUUUUUCCAGGUUCUCCUCUCCUUAUUUACUCUGACCAUAUCCUCUUCUGGUAAUCUUUUACCAGUACUUUGUCAAACGAUUCUGUGUAAAGCAAAGAAGCCUUGCUCUUCUACAAAAUCUUGAUAUUCCAAGAUCAUUCAGCUUCUAUCAAACGAUUUAUGUAAAGUCAAGAAGCCUUGCCCCCAGAUAAAAUAUUUAUAUUCCAAGAUAAUUUAGCUUCAAUCAGCAGCGUCACCAAAGUUGAUUAGUGGCCUUCGGCACUUAGAACGGAGAAACUUUAUUACCAUCGCAUUAUGUACUAUGGUCUGAACAUUUCUAUUUAUUACUAUUUUAUUUCUUACAAAAUACACGCCUACUAACUAUUUUACUAA